AGUCAUGGUUCUGGGAAAAAAGCCCCAGCUAAAAAUAGGCACGUAGGCCAGGGAGCAUAAUCUUGGGACUCCAGAGCUAUAAACAAAGAAGGGAAAGAGCGCCCAAGGUCUCAAGUGUCAGCCUACCCACGGACAGGGCCAGUACUAACUGGAGGCCUUAACAACGGAGCCCACUCCAGACCAAACAAGCAGACGGCUGACACUAGCAGCCUCGCACCAGGGGACAGAAACUCCUAGCCUCACGGACGGCUGCAGUUGUCAGGAAUGCAUCCAUGUUUCCUGGAAGGAGGCCCUUCGUAUCAAGUAAAUCUCCCCAGCACGUAAACUUCCCUUUGAAGAAGGCUUCUGUUUCCAUUACUGAUGUGGAAAACGCAUCUCCUCCUCAAUGGCUUUUAACGUCACUUCACUGUACUACUGGCCGAGGGAACACACCAAAGCUGGAUUCCAGGUUUCUGCCAAGAAAGACUUCUGGGCUCUGGGAGGCAGAGAAGCUAGGUACCAUACUUGUGGUAGGCCACCAGGGCCAACAUGAAGACUGAAGGAGUUAACAACUACAACUGAGUGUGAGAGGCAUCAGCAGCCAAUACUUUUUCAGGAUGACUGAUGCUUGUCAAGGAGCCUGAUGAAGGGAAAGAACACUGGGUAUAUGUGAGUGUCAAGGACCUAAGUUUAAAUCUUAGCUCCACCUGUGGGACUGUGGGCACAUCAGUUAAUCUCUAAAAUUAAGUGUCUUCAUCUGCAAAAUGGAGAUACCUAUUUUACAAGGUUUGGGGUGGGAGAUGUUUUAUACGUGGAUUAAAAAAAUAGUACAUUUAAAAGCAUGGGAGACACUUAACAUUCUUCCCACAUUAUCUUGGGGUUCCAGAAAAUACCAAGUAAGAGCUCCCAAGGUCUAAGAGAAAAAUCACAGAGUAAGGUUCCAAAGGAAGCAUUGAAACUAACUCAGCAAGACCCACGAGAAGAGUUUUCUGGAUCUAGAAACUAAAAUUCAUGCUUUGACUCUGAUGACAACUGAAGGAUUAAUUCUGUGAAUCCAGUGACUCACAGAUCAUAAAAGCUUCUACAGCAGCUAAAGACUCAAAGCUUAACAUCCCAAAUGUCCAUCAACAGAUGACUGGAUAAAGAAGUUGUGGUACAUACAUACAAUGGAACAUUACUCAGCCAUAAAAAAGAAUAAAAUAAUGCCAU